GACACCCUGGGCACAAAGAUGGGGGAGGGCUGGCGGGUGGUUCCACUGCCCCUUCCUUGCCAAAGUCGACGCCUUCGUCCACCCACACCCAACGUUCUUUCUCCUUCCCGUUCCUCUCACCACCCCAGUUUUGUUCCGGUUUAUAGGGCAACUCUGCAGGAGCCGCCAAUCCCUGUCGCCUCUGUGUGUGACUGUCUCCCUCGCCCAGGACCAUCUGGACGGGAACACCAACUUGCUUUAUCAACCGAAACGUAGGCAGAAAUCAGAGCCAUCUGGUGGUCCUGGCGUUACUGCUUUCGCCCUGCUAUGGGGGUGGCAUACUCUGAAGGGUGAUGGUCCUUCAGGCUGGAUCUGACAACGACGAGGACAUGCGGGAUGAAGUCCUGGAUGAAGAGGGAUCUGAGCAAGAAGUAAAUCCUUGUUGUAAGUCAGUAAGAUUUGGGGGGUCUUUGUUAUCUCAGCGUGACCUAGCAAACCCUGACUACUACAAGUUGAGACUGGAGUUAUAUAUUAGAAAUAUGUUUAAAUAAAAGUUGGAAAAUAUGA